CACGAACACAUUCAUGUCCCAGAUGCAGCUCUAAUGCAAGUUCUCUGAUGUUAGGUCAUUUAUCUUCACCAGUACAUCCUGACUGAUACACAUGUACACAUAUGAAGAUCAAGAUAAAAAGACUGAAAGAGUUUAUUACUCAUGAGGCCUGACUUACAAGAAUUGCGAAGUUGAAGUGAAAGAAUACUAGACAGCAACACCAAAACAUAUGAAAAUAUAAAGCUCUUUGAUGGAGAUAAAUAUAUGGACAAAUACGGAAUCCUGUAAUUUGUAAUGGUGAUGCAUAAAUAAAUUUAAAUUCAGGUAUAAAAUUUAAAAUAUAAAAGCACAAAAAAUACAAAUAUAAAAAUAUGUUGAUACAAGAUAUUAAAACCUGUAAUUUGUGAUAUUAAUGACAUAAAGUGGAGAAUACAUUGAGGAAUAGAGUUUCUG
rnacentral:lncRNA from 1 species